AUUCGUACUAGCCCGGGUCCAAAAUCGGUGCCGAAAAGUACUAUCCUCGAGUUAGCUUAAUUUCCAUUCCUGGUUACUUUUUCGUACAUGUGUAUUUGACCAGACCUGAGAAUUGUUUCUUGUCUGAAUAAGUACCACAGCAAGGGCUCUAGUUUGUACUAUACAUCUAUUGUUAAUAUUGUCAGGAGAGAUCAUCUGAAAUCAGUUUUUCCUCUCUUUCCUCACAUCUGAUUUUUGUGAGUGCCCAGAUCAACGAGACCUUCAAAGAGCAGGUCCUAUGUUUAAAACGGAUGAACUCAUUCCUCAUCAAGUACAGAGAAGAGGUGAUCGCCGAAAAGGAAGACCACUUGGGAGACCGGCAGCUCACUCAGUGCUACGUCCAGUACAUGACUACCAUCAUCAACAACUGUCAGACAUUCAAUUGAGUCCCACAGUAUGUGAUGGGUUUAGGAGAUGACCAGCAAGGCCCAUCGCAGAUUGGUGGUUGAGUGCAUCAAAGCCGUGAUUCAGAAAAGGGUCACCUUUAAAAACGCAAACGAGUGGAAAGAGGGAGCAUUUCCUCUUCAGGAAACUCACUGCUGCUGAGGGGACUGACCGACUGUGUGACUCCUUCACUGCCAUAGCCGAGGUGUUCAAAAUCCGACCCCACUGCGAUCUGCUGCAGCUAUUCACCAGGUGAUCUCUUUGUAUUUAGAGUGGAACAUCCCCCUCAACAACCUAAAUGGACUUGUCAAAAAUCGAAUGCAGCAAAAACUAUUUUUGAGUGGCAACAUCUCUUUCACAUAGAAAUCACCAAUUCUCUGCCAAUGUUGGUUGCAAUGACCCAACAUCGUGAACAUUUUAUAGACCAUAUGAAUUUUAAGAAUAGUGUAUGUUUUCGCAAACUUAAUGUUUUUGU